UACAGAGGUCUCAAGCGUUGUUCGGAUUCAUUGGGCGUAAAGGGUGCGUAGGCGGCGCGGUAAGUCGGGUGUGAAAUUUCGAGGCUUAACUUCGAAACUGCAUUCGAUACUGCCGUGCUUGAGGACUGGAGAGGAGACUGGAAUUUACGGUGUAGCGGUGAAAUGCGUAGAUAUCGGGAGGAACAUCAGUGGCGAAGGCGGCCUUCUGGUCCAGUACUGACACUCAAGUGCGAAAGCGUGGGGAGCAAACAGG
rnacentral:rRNA from 1 species